GAGAGUAGUACUAGGAUGGGUGACCCCCUGGGAAGUCCUCGUGUUGCAUCCC
rfam:Ananas comosus cultivar MD2 ACMD2_Scaffold_8237, whole genome shotgun sequence.